AAUGAAAAAGUCUACUUUCACCCGGGAGGGGGAAUCCCCGCGUACACGUCUAUCCACGUGUAAAAAUAAAACGGUUCUUCUCAUCUACUGGUUCUCAUCUUCUUCGUCUUCGUUAUUUUCUGACCAAGUUGUGCGCCAUUGGUAGGGUUUCUUCAACCAACGAUUGAUAGGAAUCAAGGAUCUACUCAUGAUGUUGCCAUGGGUAUGAAUUGAAAACCAGAAUAUUCAAUCAAGAAUAGAAAAAAAGAGGAUUGAUCAUCAUGGGCAACAAUUUGAUCAUCAUGAUUUGGGGCUUUUGUCACCUGGGAUUAAAUCUUCUACAUCAUAGGUAGAUUCCCAGAAAAAAAAACGAAGGUGGAGGACCUUUGAUUCCUUGUAUAUGCAACUUUUAGAAUUUACCCAAAUAGUAUUGUAAAAAUGAAAGAACAAGGCAACCUCCUAUGCGAAGCCGAAUCUGUAAAAAUGAAAGAACAAGGACCUUUGAUUUCUUCCUUUCGUAAACCCCAACAGUUUUUAUCUCUGAAAUGAGUUUGAGUUGCAGA